rnacentral:rRNA from 1 species
AUUGCCUACGGGAGGCAGCAGUGAGGAAUAUUGGUCAAUGGGCGCGAGCCUGAACCAGCCAGGUCGCGUGAGGGAAGACGGUCCUAUGGAUUGUAAACCUCUUUUGUCGGGGAGCAAAAGACGCCACGCGUGGCGUUCCGAGAGUACCCGAAGAAAAAGCAUCGGCUAACUCCGUGCCAGCAGCCGCGGUAAUACGGAGGAUGCGAGCGUUAUCCGGAUUUAUUGGGUUUAAAGGGUGCGCAGGCGGAAGGUCAAGUCAGCGGUAAAAUUGAGAGGCUCAACCUCUUAGAGCCGUUGAAACUGGG